rnacentral:SRP_RNA from 1 species
CCGUGCUAGGCGGGGAGGUAGCGGUGCCCUGUACCCGCAAUCCGCUCCAGCGGGGCUGAAUCCCUUCUCGAGGCUGCGUCACUGUAAGGCUGCCCUGGGUAAGUGGCGUUGACGUCUGGGUCCUGCGCAACGGGAAUUCGUGAACCUUGUCAGAUCCGGAAGGAAGCAGCAAUAAGCGAAAGCUCUCGUGUGCCGCGGGGGUGCCUGGACCGAGCUAACUGCUCAGGUAACGCUUAUGGUGCGCAGUCGACAGAAGGUGCACGG